rnacentral:rRNA from 1 species
UACGAAGGGGGCUAGCGUUGUUCGGAAUUACUGGGCGUAAAGCGUGCGCAGGCGGCUUCUCAAGUCAGGGGUGAAAGCCCAGAGCUCAACUCUGGAAUUGCCUUUGAGACUGAGUGGCUUGAGUACGAGAGAGGUGAGUGGAAUUCCCAGUGUAGUGGUGAAAUACGUAGAGAUUGGGAAGAACACCAGUGGCGAAGGCGGCUAUCUGGACGGUUUCUGACGCUAAGACGCGAAAGCGUGGGGAGCAAACAGG